rnacentral:tRNA from 1 species
GCAUGGGUGGCUCAGUCGGUUGAGCGUCUGACUUCAGCUCAGGUCAGGAUCUCACAAUUUGUGAGUUCGAGCCCCGUGUCGUGCU